rnacentral:rRNA from 1 species
UACGAAGGUGGCAAGCGUUGUUCGGAUUACUGGGCGUACAGGAGCGUAGGCGGUUGGAUAAGCCCUCCGUGAAAUCUCCAGGCUUAACCUGGAAAGUGCAGAGGGGACUGUUCAGCUAGAGGAUGGGAGAGGAGCGCGGAAUUCCCGGUGUAGCGGUGAAAUGCGUAGAGAUCGGGAGGAAGCCGGUGGCGAAGGCGGCGCUCUGGAACAUUCUGACGCUGA